GUACUUGCUUCGGCCAGUACAUAUAAUAAAUUGGAUACACGAUGCAGAGAGGAACAGCAUGGCCCCUGCGAAGGAUGACCAUAAUUCGUGAGCGUUUCCUAUUUUA